AUUGAACGCUGGCGGCAUGCUUUACACAUGCAAGUCGGACGGCAGCACAGAGAAGCUUGCUUCUUGGGUGGCGAGUGGCGAACGGGUGAGUAACAUAUCGGAACGUACCGAGCAGUGGGGGAUAACUAAUCGAAAGAUUAGCUAAUACCGCAUAUUUUCUGAGGAAGAAAGCAGGGGACCAUUUGGCCUUGCGCUGUUUGAGCGGCCGAUAUCUGAUUAGCUAGUUGGUGGGGUAAAGGCCUACCAAGGCGACGAUCAGUAGCGGGUCUGAGAGGAUGAUCCGCCACACUGGGACUGAGACACGGCCCAGACUCCUACGGGAGGCAGCAGUGGGGAAUUUUGGACAAUGGGCGCAAGCCUGAUCCAGCCAUGCCGCGUGUCUGAAGAAGGCCUUCGGGUUGUAAAGGACUUUUGUCAGGGAAGAAAAGGGCGGGGUUAAUACCCCUGUCUGAUGACGGUACCUGAAGAAUAAGCACCGGCUAACUACGUGCCAGCAGCCGCGGUAAUACGUAGGGUGCGAGCGUUAAUCGGAAUUACUGGGCGUAAAGCGGGCGCAGACGGUUACUUAAGCAGGAUGUGAAAUCCCCGGGCUCAACCUGGGAACUGCGUUCUGAACUGGGUGACUAGAGAGUGUCAGAGGGAGGUAGAAUUCCACGUGUAGCAGUGAAAUGCGUAGAGAUGUGGAGGAAUACCGAUGGCGAAGGCAGCCUCCUGGGAUAACACUGACGUUCAUGCCCGAAAGCGUGGGUAAGCAAACAGGAUUAGAUACCCUGGUAGUCCACGCCCUAAACGAUGUCGAUUAGCUGUUGGGCAGCAUGACUGCUUAGUAGCGAAGCUAACGCGUGAAGUCGACCGCCUGGGGAGUACUGUCGCAAGAUUAAAACUCAAAGGAAUUGACGGGGACCCGCACAAGCGG
rnacentral:rRNA from 1 species